rnacentral:rRNA from 1 species
GCAUAUCAAUAAGCGGAGGAAAAGAAACUAACAAGGAUUCCCCUAGUAACGGCGAGUGAAGAGGGAAGAGCUCAAAUUUUAAAUCUACCUUGUUUCAAGGUCGAGUUGUAAUUUGAAGAUGCGUUUUCUCGGGCCCGCACCGGUAGAAGUUCUCUUGGAACAGGGCAUCAUAGAGGGUGAUAAUCCCGUCUGUGACCGGUCGCGAGUUCGUUUACGAUACGCACUCUAAGAGUCGAGUUGUUUGGGAUUGCAGCUCAAAACGGGUGGUAAACAUCACCUAAGGCUAAAUAUUGGCGAGAGACCGAUAGCGAACAAGUACCGUGAGGGAAAGAUGAAAAGAACUUUGAAAAGAGAGUUAAACAGUACGUGAAAUUGUUGAAAGGGAAACGCUUGAAGUCAGUCGUGCUGGCAUGAAAUCAACCGUUGCGCUAGUAAGUUGUCUGCGGGUAAGCUAAAAACCAUCGCGUUGACAUCUUUGCGCGCGCAGCGGUGCACUUUUGUGUCAGCUGGUUAGCAUCAAUUUCGACCGUCAUAAAAAGGCUGGGGGGAUGUGGCUCCUUCGGGAGUGUUAUAACCCUUAGCGGAAUGUGGUGGACGAGAUUGAGGUUUGCAACGGGUGCCGCUCUACCUGGCCUCUCGCUGGCGCCCUGGAGGCGACAGCUCGCUGACGUCUUUGGGAGCCGCUGACGAAAAGGUUAGAGUGGAGUUGCCCGUUAAGGAUGCUAACGUAAUGGCUUUAAACGAC